CGGGUUUCGUGACACGCGAAC
rnacentral:miRNA from 1 species